rnacentral:snRNA from 1 species
GGAUGUGAGGGCAAUCUGGCUGCGACAUCUGUCACCCCAUUGAUCGCCAGGGUUGAUUCGGCUGAUCUGGCUGGCUAGGCGGGUGUCCCCUUCCUCCCUCACCGCUCCAUGUGCGUCCCUCCCGAAGCUGCGCGCUCGGUCGAAGAGGACGACCAUCCCGAUAGAGGAGGACCGUUCUUCGGUCAAGGGUAUACGAGUAGCUGCGCUCCCUGCUAGAACCUCCAAACAAGCUCUCAAAACAUGUUUAUGUUAAGCAAAUGCAUAAAUUUGGUAUAUAGUAACCACUCAAGCAAAUAGUAAUAUUCAUUCAAUAGAUUACAAAGUUG